GAAGAGGUGGCUCAGUGAAGAGCACUGGCUGUUCUUCCAGAGGACAUGGGUUCAAUUCCCAGCACCUACA
rnacentral:tRNA from 1 species